ensembl:lncRNA
CCCCCCCCCCCCCCCCCCCCCCCCCCCCCCCCCCCCCCCCCCCCCCCCCCCCCCCCCCCCCCCCCCCGCGCGGCAGGAGGAGGCAGGAGCUGUCCGUGCGCCGCGGUGCUGAAGGGCUGUGGCAGCGGGCGGGGCGCGGGGCGGGGCGGGACGGACGGACGGACAGAUGGAUGCAUGUCGGGGGGAUGUAUGUGGGGAAUAGACGGACACACGGACGCAGAAGGAGCAUGCAAACACACACAGGUAUAUGGAAGAGGUCAUACACACACACAAAGAGACGGAUGCCCAGGCACGUGGAAAGGGUAAGGCGCAUUCACAGUAAGAGACAACACGUCCCCAUGCUCGGAGCCAGAGGGACAAAGGAACAAGCAGCCGUUCAGAGAGACACACAGAUGCACCGGCAAGGAGAGGAAGAAAGGAAGAGAGACAGAAGGAAGCAGGCAGAAAUGGGCAGGUGUGUGUGCACCAUGCUAUAAAAUCAAAAGCAGAUUUACUCUUACUUCCUGGAAAAAUGGGUCCCCAGACAUAGGAGCGGUGAGUGGCUGUGUACCAGAACUCUUAGUCCUGUCACUUUUUCAAGUCUGGUACAGCAUGGUAGAGGUUAAACUUGUGGCUUGCUGAUGACCUUAAUUUAUCAUCCUCUGGGCAUGAAUACCUGCUGUGGGAUUUACCAGCAGAGUCAGCCUUUUUUUGAUGGUUUCACUAGAGACACCAUUCUGACUAAACUGGGGAGGUUGGGGACUCCACUGUGACCAUCUGCAUGCUUCUCUUAACAAACAAGUGGGUUCUUACCCUGUGCAUCAUUCGGGCUCAAACUGACUAAAGUUCUGCAAAUGUGUGAGUCUGUCAGAUGUGGAGAGCAGGAGCCACAGUAAUGAGAAAUAAUGCUGGGACUGAAAUCUGUUGGUUUCUCUUUUGAAACUGAAAAAUGUGUGGGCAGAGCUUCUGUAGGUGGAUGGAAGAAGAAAGGGAGGUCCAAGGAGAUGUGAUUUUUCUGAGAUUGGAAGGUGGCUCCGAAGUGAAGUUGGUAGAAACAGAUGUGCAGGAGCAGUGUACUCUAGUGCAGCUCCUGUUGUACCCAGCCUGUAAAUAACAAGGCAGUUGUGGUUGCUAUAACUGCCAUUCCGGCUCUUUUCACCACAAGUGAUUUAUUUAAAAACAAAAGCUCCUUGAAGUCAUCAUGUGGUCCAAACUUAGCUUAAUUUAGUUGUAAAGUAUUCACAGCUCCUAGCUGUGUUUCAGAUAUUUUCAAAGACUUGGUAUUUUGCUUAUGUGGUUACUAUAAAAUUACCAUUGAACCUUGCUUAGCACAGUUGGUUCAGAGGAAGGGGUAAAACAGAGAUUUCCUGUACAUAUUUCUGCAGUAGGCUCUAAAGUAGAGUGGUUUUCCACUGUGUAUUUAAUAGCAGGCCUUUGGAUUAGCUGGCUUUGACCCAGGCCUUGUAGUUCUCCCUGUUAACAUUGGCAUAAGAGACAAAACUCUUAAGAUAUGUUCUUGCUAGAUUUUCAGGAAGCAACUUCUCACUGAACCUUCCAGGAAGGUACACUUCCCCAAAAUAUUUUCCAACUGGUGUAGUCCAGUUUUGGCAGUUGUGGUGUCCAGAUCUGGAUUGUGAGACCUUCUGGGUGGCUUGUCCCUCUCUUGAGCAAGCUGCUGCCUUUUCCCUGGCAGCAGCUGCUGCCUGCACUGCUGUGGUAGGAACAGCUGCAUCCCAGCUGUGUCCAUUGGGUUCAGGAGGAAGCAUUUAGCUGUUCAGGCAGUGUUUGCUGCUGAAAGCAGUGCUCCUUAUCUCCUGUGGAGAAUGUUAGCUGUGGAUGGGAAUCAGCUCAUACUUUACUGCUUGGACCGUGCUACUCUUGGCAUUUGCAUCAACUGCAGUGUGUCUGGCCAUGGUGUAUAACAAGAGAAACUUUGUAGUCAGUUUGUAAAGUAACCUGGAAAGGAAUGUAAAUUCAAAAGACUGAAGAUGGUUUAGCAUAAAGCAUCCGGAGUUCUCUAGACUAGCUGAAAUCUGCUGUUGUUCGGGUUGAUUCAGUUGAUGGUGAGUUACAUAUAGGCAUGCCCAGUGAAUAAUUAGGAACAUGAGGUCAGAGAAGAGCAUGAGAAUAUUCUGCUCUCAGAAACCCAAAAGAGAUCCUGAGGUUUAUGCCAGAGCUUUGUAAUCAUAACACGGCAAUUACCAAUAACAACAUCUAAGAAUAAGUGCCACCAAAGGGCAGGCAGCAUAGGUAAUUUUGGAAGUCAUUAAAUAGAACAGUUACAAUAAAAAAUAAAUAAUCUUUUAAUGUUGGUUUUGUUUGCCUUCUCUGUCUCCAAGAUACCUUCCCCCCCCACCCAAAGGAAUAGCUAAACAUGUUGGCGAAGGUAUUUCAAAUGUUUCCCUUGGAUCUUUUUAGAUGUUACAAAGCAGUUCCAUUUCAAGACUGUGCAAAGAUGUAGGUGGCCUUUGAAGUCACAGGAAAGGGCUGUAAAAUUUGGUCCCAAGUGUCCUGCUUAAAUCAUGUCCUUUCUGACACUCCAUGCAGUAUUCCUUGAGAGCUUUUAAGAAUAGAUGUCCAUAAUAGCUGCAUAAUAGUUUCUUUUUCAUUGCUUAUUCAGUUCCACUUUUAUAGUGGUACUCUCAGUGUGUUCUUUUGGGUUAGGAUGAGUUCAUUCCCUAAAGAAAAAAACUGAUCAGUUGACCAUAAAUUGCAGGUGUUCUGAGCAUCAGUUAACUCAAGACUGACCCUGGAAACUGCUCUUCCAGUUCAGUUCCUGUAGCUUUCUCAUCAUUGAAUACCAGUGGCUGAAUGAAGCUGGAAAGAGGAAUUUAGCAUAGAAGCAAGCCAGACUGGUAAAUCAUCUGUUAGUUCUGCUGUUUGGAAACAAGGUAGGAGUCAAAUUUCAUUUUCCACUUCAUGCUGGAAGUAUCAGCUGGUGCAUCAGUGAUGUUUAAGGGCAGGUCAGCAAGACAGCCUAUCUCGAGUCUUUCAAUAUUUGGGGAUGCUGCAUUUCCCUAUUGCUUACCUUUGUUAAAAAAAAAAAAAAAGAAAUAUAAAGCAUAGACUAAAGGAAAAUACGAACACAUGAACCAGGUCUCUCUGAAGGAAGAAGUGGUCAGCAGGCCACUGUAUUCCACCUGUAAUUAAAAGCAAGACUUCAGCAGACAGGACUGGGUAGAGCUCUGCUAGGGAAAAAGGAUAAAAACAAGCAUUUUUGCCUGGAGCUGUAAGUGGUUCAGGGAAGUAGAGAUAAACCCCAUCUUCUCUAGCUGAAAAUGCGUGCUCUUCCCAAAAGUGUCUCUCCUAAGCAGAGACUGGUAUACCAGAUGAUCUUCUGCUAAGUUCUUGUAAGUUAAUUAUGUGAUUUUAGCAUCUAGAAGGCAUUAGCUUCCAUGUACCCAUAACCAAUUGGUGACUGCAGACAUCUUCAGCAGAAUGUGUCUUGCACAGGUUCUCUUGUUUAUUUAUAGUGGUAUUGAAAUAGAAUGAUUUUAUAGAGAGUAAGUAUAUUUAAAAUGUAAUUCCUGGAAUAAUCAGCAGAUGUAUAUUUUAUGAGCAAAUUUAUACAAAUUGGAAAGAGUUUUACUUGCUGUGAUCUGAGAUGGAGUGUCCAUCUAUAGCUUUCAAUAAUUUGGGGACUUUUUCAAUUCUGAUCAAAAUAACGCUGUAGCCUUUCUAAGAGUUUGCAAUUUAACCUU